rnacentral:lncRNA from 1 species
GCAGCAGACCCUUUUUUUCCAGAUAGGGGUUGUGAACCGCCUGGGGAUGAGGCCCGUCCUCUGGACCGUGGACUCAGCUUUACGGGGCUGAGAGCUCUGGCUCCGGGUGGUAUGUAAU